AUUGAACGCUGGCGGCAGGCCUAACACAUGCAAGUCGAACGGUAACAGGGAUCAGCUUGCUGAUUCGCUGACGAGUGGCGGACGGGUGAGUAAUGUCUGGGAAACUGCCUGAUGGAGGGGGAUAACUACUGGAAACGGUAGCUAAUACCGCAUAACGUCGCAAGACCAAAGAGGGGGACCUUCGGGCCUCUUGCCAUCGGAUGUGCCCAGAUGGGAUUAGCUAGUAGGUGGGGUAACGGCUCACCUAGGCGACGAUCCCUAGCUGGUCUGAGAGGAUGACCAGCCACACUGGAACUGAGACACGGUCCAGACUCCUACAGGAGGCAGCAGUGGGGAAUAUUGCACAAUGGGCGCAAGCCUGAUGCAGCCAUGCCGCGUGUAUGAAGAAGGCCUUCGGGUUGUAAAGUACUUUCAGCGGGGAGGAAGGGAGUAAAGUUAAUACCUUUGCUCAUUGACGUUACCCGCAGAAGAAGCACCGGCUAACUCCGUG
rnacentral:rRNA from 1 species